rnacentral:rRNA from 1 species
GACGAACGCUGGCGGCGUGCUUAACACAUGCAAGUCGAACGGAAAGGCCCUGCUUUUGUGGGGUGCUCGAGUGGCGAACGGGUGAGUAACACGUGAGUAACCUGCCCUUGACUUUGGGAUAACUUCAGGAAACUGGGGCUAAUACCGGAUAGGAGCUCCUGCUGCAUGGUGGGGGUUGGAAAGUUUCGGCGGUUGGGGAUGGACUCGCGGCUUAUCAGCUUGUUGGUGGGGUAGUGGCUUACCAAGGCUUUGACGGGUAGCCGGCCUGAGAGGGUGACCGGCCACAUGGGGACUGAGAUACGGCCCAGACGCCUACGGGAGGCAGCAGUGGGGAAUAUUGCACAAUGGGCGGAAGCCUGAUGCAGCAACGCCGCGUGCGGGAUGACGGCCUUCGGGUUGUAAACCGCUUUCGCCUGUGACGAAGCGUGAGGGACGGUAAUGGGUAAAGAAGCACCGGCUAACUACGU